AUUGAACGCUGGCGGCAUGCCUUACACAUGCAAGUCGAACGGCAGCACGGGUGCUUGCACCUGGUGGCGAGUGGCGAACGGGUGAGUAAUACAUCGGAACAUGUCCUGUAGUGGGGGAUAGCCCGGCGAAAGCCGGAUUAAUACCGCAUACGAUCUACGGAUGAAAGCGGGGGACUUUCGGGCCUCGCGCUAUAGGGUUGGCCGAUGGCUGAUUAGCUAGUUGGUGGGGUAAAGGCCUACCAAGGCGACGAUCAGUAGCUGGUCUGAGAGGACGACCAGCCACACUGGGACUGAGACACGGCCCAGACGCCUACGGGAGGCAGCAGUGGGGAAUUUUGGACAAUGGGCGAAAGCCUGAUCCAGCAAUGCCGCGUGUGUGAAGAAGGCCUUCGGGUUGUAAAGCACUUUUGUCCGGAAAGAAAUCCUUGGCCCUAAUACGGUCGGGGGAUGACGGUACCGGAAGAAUAAGCACCGGCUAACUACGUG
rnacentral:rRNA from 1 species